GAUGAAGAACGUAGCGAAAUGCGAUAAGUAAUGUGAAUUGCAGAAUUCAGUGAAUCAUCGAAUCUUUGAACGCACCUUGCGCCCUUUGGCCAUUCCGAAGGGCAUGCCUGUUUGAGUAUCAUGAACACCUCAACUCUUCAUGGUUUUCCAUGAUGAGCUUGGACUUUGGGGGUCUUGCUGGCCUGUGGGUCGGCUCCUCUCAAAUGAAUCAGCUUGCCGGUUUUUGGUGGGCAUCACAGGUGUGAUAACUAUCUACGCUUGUGGUUUUCCACCAGGGUAACCUUCAGCAGUGGAGGUUCACUGGAGCUUACAAAUGUCUCUCCUCUGUGAGGACAGCCCUUUGAAUGUUUGAUCUCAAAUCAGGUAGGGAUACCCGCUGAACUUAAGCAUAUCAAUAAGCGGAGGA
rnacentral:misc_RNA from 1 species